rnacentral:rRNA from 1 species
AAACCAUUUUACCCCCUUAGUAUGGGCGACAGAAAAGGGCAUGAGGAGCGAUAGAAAGAGUACCGCAAGGGAACGCUGAAAGAGAAAUGAAAUAACCCAGUGAAGCCUAAAAAAGCAGAGAUUACCCCUCGUACCUUUUGCAUCAUGAUUUAGCCAGUAAUAUUUUAAGCAAAGAGCGCUUUAGUUUUUAACCCCGAAACUAGUGUGAGCUACUUCGAGACAGCCUAUAGAUAGGGCAAAUCCGUCUCUGUUGCAAAAGAGUGGAAAGAUCUCCAAGUAGAGGUGAUAAACCUACCGUACCUAGUUAUAGCUGGUUGCCUGGGAACUGGAUAGAAGUUCAGCCUCACGGCUUCUGCCCUCGCCGCCUUAACCCCUAAGGAUCGCCUAAAGAAACCAUGAGAGUUAACCGAAGGAGGUACAGCUCCUUUGAUAGAAGCCACAACUUCUCCAGGAGGGUAAAGAUCAUAUUUAUUCAAGGCAAAAUGUUUUGGUUGGCUUAAGGGCAGCCAUCCCCACAGAAAGCGUCAAAGCUCAAACAUACCCGCCUCCCAUCCAAUAAGGAUAAUUUUAUCUUAGCCCCCUGACCCUUACCAGGCCGUCCCAUGCCCCCAUGGGAGCGAUAAUGCUAAUAUGAGUAAUAAGAGAGCCCGACUCUCUCCACGCACACGUGUACCUCGGAACGGACUCCCCACCGAAUAUUAACGGCCCCAGACAAGAGGGAAAUGAAUGAUAGGACCGACAACUAGAAAAACACUCAACCCCCCCCCCCCACCGUUAACCCUACCCAGGGGGGCUUUACGGGAAAGACUAAAAGAAAAAGAAGGAACUCGGCAAACACAUAGAGCCUCGCCUGUUUACCAAAAACAUCGCCUCUUGCAAAAUCAAUGAAUAAGAGGUCCCGCCUGCCCCGUGACACAUUGCUUCAACGGCCGCGGUAUUUUAACCGUGCGAAGGUAGCGUAAUCAUUUGUCCUUUAACUGGGGACCUGUAUGAAUGGCACAACGAGGGCUCCGCUGUCUCCUUUUUCAAGUCAAUGAAAUUGAUCUCCCCGUGCAGAAGCGGGGAUAGUACCAUAAGACGAGAAGACCCUAUGGAGCUUUAGACACUAAGGCAGAUCACGUUAAACACUCCCGAAUAAAGGAUUAAACAUGUGACCCACUGCCCUGACGUCUUUGGUUGGGGCGACCAUGGGGGAAUAAAAAGCCCCCACGAGGAAUGGGCACACCGUUCCUACAACCAAGAGCCUCCGCUCUAAUUACCAGAAUUUCUGACCUGCAUGAUCCGGCAAAGCCGAUCAACGGACCAAGUUACCCUAGGGAUAACAGCGCAAUCCCCUUUUAGAGCCCGUAUCGACAAGGGGGUUUACGACCUCGAUGUUGGAUCAGGACAUCCUAAUGGUGCAACCGCUAUUAAGGGUUCGUUUGUUCAACGAUUAAAGUCCUACGUGAUCUGAGUUCAGACCGGAGUAAUCCAGGUCAGUUUCUAUCUAUGUUAUACUCUCUUCUAGUACGAAAGGACCGAAGAGAGGAGGCCCCUGCUCCAAGCACGCCUCACCUCCAACUAGUGAAAUCAACUAAAAUAGAAAAGGAGGC